GUUUCUACUGUCACUUGUACACCUCCUGACAGAUGUUCCUCUACAGUGGAAGGAAACUACUGGUAUCAGUGACUAAAUACAUCACGGAGUUAUGGUACCCAGGUCUACAACUGCAUGCAGAUGGUGACAUGCUCAUAUGAGAAGCCUCAGAGGAUAGAGAAUGACGUGCAACCAGGAAUCUAGCCAGGUGCCGUGUCCCCUGUGCCUGUCUCCAUUGGCUGCAAGUUAUUGCUG